rnacentral:rRNA from 1 species
UUUUUUUUUUUAGUAUUUUGUUAGGUAUUGCAUAUCAUUGAAGGAUAAUUUUUUGCUUUUUGUUAUUAAUAGAAUGCGUUUGGUGAUUUCUUUUUUGUUCUAUUGUUAAUAUAAGUUAGAUAUGAUUGGAAUUGGUAUUGAUAAGUCGUAAAUGCGGUUAUCUGUUUUUUUUUGUUUGACUGGAAAUUUGUCUUUUUUUUAUUGUAUGUGAGAGUUGGGGAUUAGAAGUUUCUUGUUUUGUUGUGUAGUAACUUUUUUUGUUGUAAUUGUUGUUUUAAGAUUUUUGUCUUAUUUAUCUAUAAAUGAGUGGAGAAUUUUUGAUUUUUUAGGUGCAAGGGAAAUUUGUGUAAAGUGGUUGUUGAAUUUUUUUUGUGAACUGUUAAUAGGAUCAAAUGUUUUUUAAAGACUUAGGGUUUUUAUUAAAGUUGUCUUCUGCUCAAUGAUUUAUUUAAAUGGCGGCCUUAGCGUGAGGGUAUUAAGGUAGCAAAAUAAGUUGUGUUUUUAAUGGAUUCUAGUAUGAAUGGAGUUAUUGGUUUUUGUUUUGUAUUUUUUUUUUCUGAAUUAGAUUUUUUUCUAAGAAUUGUUGGGUUUAUUUAUACUAAGAUAAGUCUUCGGAAAUUUUUUUGUAGGUUGUUUGGGGUAAAUUUUUUGUAUUUUUUGUUCCUAGGGUUAUUUAUAUAAAUUACUUCGGAGUUAACAGAAUGUUAUUUCUGAUAUAGUUGUUAUAUUAGGAAGAAUAUUACAUCGUUGUUGUAUUUUUGUUAUUAAGGGGGUAGGUUAUCUUAUAUUUGAGACUGUUCUUCUUUUAGUAAAUGGAACGUGAUAUUAGUUUAAUUCAUUGUGAGAUAGAAUUGUUUAUCUAGUUAAUUAAUUUGUUUUUUGUUUUACUAGUACGAAAGGAUUGUUAAUAGUGUUUGAAAUGUUUUUG